rnacentral:rRNA from 1 species
CGGCGCGUUUACUUUGAAAAAAUUAGAGUGCUCAACGCAGGCGAUUCGCCUGAAUAACAGUGCAUGGAAUAAUAGAACAAGAUCCUGUUUCUGUUCUGUUGGUUUUUGGAAUACAGGAUAAUGAUUAAGAGGGACAGACGGGGGCAUUCGUAUUGCGGCGCUAGAGGUGAAAUUCUUGGACCGUCGCAAGACGAACUACUGCGAAAGCAUUUGCCAAGAAUGUUUUCAUUGAUCAAGAACGAAAGUUAGAGGUUCGAAGGCGAUCAGAUACCGCCCUAGUUCUAACCAUAAACGAUGCCAACCAGCGAUCCGCCUGAGUUACUCAAAUGACUCGGCGGGCAGCUUCCGGGAAACCAAAGUAUUUGGGUUCCGGGGGAAGUAUGGUUGCAAAGCUGAAACUUAAAGGAAUUGACGGAAGGGCACCACCAGGAGUGGAGCCUGCGGCUUAAUUUGACUCAACACGGGAAAACUUACCCGGCCCGGACACUGGGAGGAUUGACAGAUUGAGAGCUCUUUCUUGAUUCGGUGGAUGGUGGUGCAUGGCCGUUCUUAGUUGGUGGAGCGAUUUGUCUGGUUAAUUCCGAUAACGAACGAGACUCUAGCCUAUUAAAUAGGUGCGUGGUUCUCUGCACCUUGCACCCUUCUUAGAGGGACAAGCGGCUCCUAGCCGCACGAAACAGAGCAAUAACAGGUCUGUGAUGCCCUUAGAUGUCCGGGGCCGCACGCGCGCUACACUGAAGGAAGCAGCGUGUUUUUAUCCCUGUCUGUAAAGACUGGGUAACCCGUGGAACCUCCUUCGUGAUUGGGAUAGGGGCUUGCAAUUGUUCCCCUUGAACGAGGAAUUCCCAGUAAGCGCGAGUCAUAAGCUCGCGUUGAUUACGUCCCUGCCCUUUGUACACACCGCCCGUCGCUACUACCGAUUGAAUGAUUUAGUGAGGUCUUCGGACCGAUACCCGGAGCGGCCUUUCGGUUGCGCCGGUGUGUUGGAAAGAU